UACGGAGGGUGCGAGCGUUAUCCGGAAUCAUUGGGUUUAAAGGGUCUGCAGGCGGUAAUAUAAGUCAGUGGUGAAAUCCUACAGCUUAACUGUAGCACUGCCAUUGAAACUGUAUUACUAGAGUAUGAUGGAAGUAGGCGGAAUGAGUAGUGUAGCGGUGAAAUGCAUAGAUAUUACUCAGAACACCGAUAGCGAAGGCAGCUUACUAUGUCAUUACUGACGCUGAUGGACGAAAGCGUGGGGAGCGAACAGG
rnacentral:rRNA from 1 species